AUGAAGUACUUCGGUAUGUAAAGUUCUUUUAUUGAAAAAGAAAAAAUAGUGGAAAAACUAUCUUGACAUUAUUCAAUGAAUAAGCCCCGGCUAAUUAUGUGCCAGCAGCCGCGGUAAUACAUAAGGGGCGAGCGUUAUCCGGAAUUAUUGGGCGUAAAGGGUGCGUAGGCGGUUUGAUAAGUCUAUAGUUUAAAUGCAGCGCUUAACGCUGUAGCGCUAUAGAAACUGUCUGACUAGAGUUAGAUAGAGGCAAGCGGAAUUCCAUGUGUAGCGGUAAAAUGCGUAAAUAUAUGGAGGAACACCAGAGGCGUAGGCGGCUUGCUGGGUCUUAACUGACGCUGAGGCACGAAAGCGUGGGGAGCAAACAGGAUUAGAUACCCUGGUAGUCCACGCCGUAAACGAUGAGUACUAAGUGUCGGGUUUCGGCUCGGUACUGAAGUUAACACAUUAAGUACUCCGCCUGAGUAGUACGUACGCAAGUAUGAAACUUAAAGGAAUUGACGGGACCCCGCACAAGCGGUGGAUCAUGUUGUUUAAUUCGAAGAUACACGAAAAACCUUACCAGGUCUUGACAUAAUUUUGCGACAUUAUAGAAAUAUAAUGAAGGUUAUCAGAAUUACAGGUGGUGCAUGGUUGUCGUCAGCUCGUGUCGUGAGAUGUUAGGUUAAGUCCUAAAACGAGCGCAACCCUUGUCGUUAGUUGCGACCACGUAAUGGUGAGCACUUUAGCGAGACUGCCAAUGAAAAAUUGGAGGAAGGUGAGGAUUACGUCAAAUCAUCAUGCCCCUUAUGAUCUGGGCUACAAACGUGAUACAAUGGCUGUUACAGAAAAGUAGCUACAA
rnacentral:rRNA from 1 species